UACAGGGGGGGCAAGCGUUGUUCGGAAUUACUGGGCGUAAAGGGCUCGUAGGCGGCCAACUAAGUCAGACGUGAAAUCCCUCGGCUUAACCGGGGAACUGCGUCUGAUACUGGAUGGCUUGAGUUCGGGAGAGGGAUGCGGAAUUCCAGGUGUAGCGGUGAAAUGCGUAGAUACCUGGAGGAACACCGGUGGCGAAGGCGGCAUCCUGGACCGACACUGACGCUGAGGAGCGAAAGCCAGGGGAGCAAACGGG
rnacentral:rRNA from 1 species